GCCAGGCAUCGUGACGUGUGCCUGUAUUCCCAGCUACUUGGGAGGCUGAGGCAGGAGAAUUGCUUGAACCCAGGAAGUUGAGGUUGCAGUGAGCCUAGAUCAUGCCACUGCACUCCAGCCUGGGUGACAGAGCAAGACUCUGUUUCAA
rnacentral:SRP_RNA from 1 species